ensembl:lncRNA
GACCCGCUGGCUACACCUUCCCACUGACGCCUAGUGGAGUUAACCCCAGUUUCUAGUUAACUAAAUUAAAGGUGGAGAACUUUCCUAAGCUAAUCCCUAACCUGAAAGUGUGGAUGAGAAGGGAAGAAAACGUGAGGAAUAUAAUUUCCUAGUGGUAAUUAUUUCCCACCGACUCAGACGGAAGGACAGCGUGGAUGCCUGACAAAUACUGGUAAGGAGAGUAUGCCAAGUCAAGCAGAUGAGUCAGCACAGGCAACAUAAAGUCUCUCUUCCCCAAGAAUUAACAUCCUCCUUCCAGCUGUGUUCUGCUUUCAAAAGAGAUGUGAAACCAUUCUAGAACUUGAGAUGUGAGUGAUUGCAAGGAGAAGAAGAAACUAGAAACUGCCUCUGCUGUGAUCAUUACAAAUGACUUGUGAAUGAAUGCUCUUGGAUUCUUAACCCCUAUAUGACUUCAGCUGUUGUUCAAGCAUUAAUUCUACCAGUGCACUGAUUACCUUAUUCACAGUUUGCAGAGAGCUUAUUGAAGCCCGAAGUUUAAGUGACUUAGUCAGGUCAGUACAUUCAGCCAUGCCGGAGCUUACAUUACAUCCCAGGUAUUCCUUAUGUGCUUAGACUCUCAUAAUACUAGGGAAAAGGGCAACUGACUGAACAGACAUGUAGUAUAUUUGCAAUACUCUGUGAGAAUGAGCUGAUUAUAAUAAUGGUCAAUAAUGGUCAAUACUGACCAUUUUGACUCAGUGCUGAGUGGAUUGGUGAUAUGACAAGAUCCUUUUUCCCUGUUGGCAACAUGAAUGCUAGCAAAGAUGUUGGUACUGGUGUUAAUUUCUUUGCUGGCACCAGAUAUGGCAAAUCUUGUAAAGAAAAGGCAGUCACUUGAAAACACGUUGCUGCGCUUUACAUAGUAGUAGUAGGACUGUCCACUCCUUUGGGACACUUCUGGGGACUUCUUUUUUGAAAAGAUGGUAAACUGAAUUGAAAACUUUAAUACCAGAAGCAAUAAAAUAAGAAGGUGGAAUUUUUCUGUAGAUGAAAUUGCAAGUUGGGAAGAAGUGAAUCAUAGCUAUCAUAUUACCUGUGAACAUGGAAAGUUAUUUAAGUAUUAAUUUAUAUGAUUUCAACCAAUGAAGACUAAUCAGUUUUUCUAGCAGUAGAAAGUUUCCUUCGUUCUUCCUCCCUUCUCAAACUCCAGAGCAGUGCCAUGAAUACUGGGGCACAGGCUUGUGAGUGAACAUCAAAGCUCUUCUAAGUGAGUAAGCAGAGCAGGUUAAUGAGGCAGCCCUUGUCUUUUGGUAAUUUCAUCUGACAGAGGUGACUUAGCAUUAAAUUAUCCCUACAUAUCUCAGGGUCGUAUUAUCUGCUCUCGUGAUCCUAAGUUCUGUGAUUAUCCGUGAACUCUCAAUAUCUGUAAUCCUUACUCAUUAUCAAUUGUGAGGUGAAAAUGUGGUCAGUGGUGGUCCUCUGACUUUGUUUAGCACUAUACCAGGUGCUUUUUACUGCUGAAACUACCUUUGUCCUGUUCUUGGCUUUGAGUCCAAGGAGAAUCCAACUGGCAUUCUUUGUUUCCUGGCUGUUGGACUUGGAGGUACUGUUGAGAUUACUGAAACAUGAGUUUGUUAUACUGCAGUAUGUAAUAGAGCUGAAGUUAUUGUCAUGAGUGUAGCAUAUCAUAGCCUCAUGUGUUGCUACUGAUAAGAUUGAGUUGGUACUUUGGAAUUAGUUGCUAGUGCUUGGAAAUACUCUUCUCAGCGUUACCUUGUGAAACAGCAAUUUUCUUCCUGAACAUUUUCUUUCAUAGUGUAGUCAUUGAGAAGCAGAGAAGAUGAGCUUCUUGACCUUCAGCAAACUAUGUUCCCUCCAGUGUGAAGGGCUUGGUUUUUGAUGUGUUUAGUUAUUUUUCUCUAAUCACUUGGAGUAGGAACCUAUGCAAUUUCUUACAAUGUUGGUAUGGCAAAGAUCUACAGCAAAUGUGCUUAGUUUCUGUAUCACUUAAGUCUAUGGAAAAGUGAAUGGAUGUGUAUGUAUGUGGAUCAGUAGACUCUUGAAACCUCCAGCACCCAUGAACUGGAGACCAUUUGUGUUCCUAGUGGAUCAGAAGUAAAGAUCUAAAGUUGGCCUGC